rnacentral:rRNA from 1 species
CCCUUAGACGUUCUGGGCCGCACGCGCGCUACACUGACACAGGCAACGAGCUUUCCUUUACCGAAAGGUAUGGGUAAUCUUUUGAAACUGUGUCGUGCUGGGGAUAGAUCCUUGCAAUUUUUGAUCUUAAACGAGGAAUUCCUAGUAAGCGCGAGUCAUCAACUCGCGUUGAUUACGUCCCUGCCCUUUGUACACACCGCCCGUCGCUACUACCGAUUGAAUGGCUUAGUGAGGCCUCAGGAUCCGCGCUUAAUGUGUGGAGAAUUUGGACAAACUACGUCAGUUAGAGGAAGUAAAAGUCGUAACA